rnacentral:rRNA from 1 species
AGAGUUUGAUCAUGGCUCAGGACGAACGCUGGCGGCGUGCUUAACACAUGCAAGUCGAACGGAAAGGCCCUUCGGGGUACUCGAGUGGCGAACGGGUGAGUAACACGUGGGUGAUCUGCCCUGCACUUUGGGAUAAGCCUGGGAAACUGGGUCUAAUACCGAAUAGGACCGCGCUCUUCAUGGGGUGUGGUGGAAAGCUUUUGCGGUGUGGGAUGGGCCCGCGGCCUAUCAGCUUGUUGGUGGGGUAAUGGCCUACCAAGGCGACGACGGGUAGUCGGCCUGAGAGGGUGACCGGCCACACUGGGACUGAGAUACGGCCCAGACUCCUACGGGAGGCAGCAGUGGGGAAUAUUGCACAAUGGGCGCAAGCCUGAUGCAGCGACGCCGCGUGAGGGAUGACGGCCUUCGGGUUGUAAACCUCUUUCAAUAGGGACGAAGCGCAAGUGACGGUACCUAUAGAAGAAGGACCGGCCAACUACGUGCCAGCAGCCGCGGUAAUACGUAGGGUCCGAGCGUUGUCCGGAAUUACUGGGCGUAAAGAGCUCGUAGGUGGUUUGUCGCGUUGUUCGUGAAAACUCACAGCUUAACUGUGGGCGUGCGGGCGAUACGGGCAGACUAGAGUACUGCAGGGGAGACUGGAAUUCCUGGUGUAGCGGUGGAAUGCGCAGAUAUCAGGAGGAACACCGGUGGCGAAGGCGGGUCUCUGGGCAGUAACUGACGCUGAGGAGCGAAAGCGUGGGUAGCGAACAGGAUUAGAUACCCCGGUAGUCCAA